CCUACGGUGGGCAGCAGUGGGGAAUAUUGCACAAUGGGGGAAACCCUGAUGCAGCGACGCCGCGUGAAGGAAGAAGUAUUUCGGUAUGUAAACUUCUAUCAGCAGGGAAGAAAAUGACGGUACCUGACUAAGAAGCCCCGGCUAACUACGUGCCAGCAGCCGCGGUAAUACGUAGGGGGCAAGCGUUAUCCGGAUUUACUGGGUGUAAAGGGAGCGUAGGCGGUUCAGCAAGUCAGAAGUGAAAGCCCGGGGCUCAACUCCGGGACUGCUUUUGAAACUGGUGAACUAGAGUGCAGGAGAGGUAAGUGGAAUUCCUAGUGUAGCGGUGAAAUGCGUAGAUAGUAGGAGGAACACCAGUGGCGAAGGCGGCUUACUGGACUGUAAAUGACGCUGAGGCUCGAAAGCGUGGGGAGCAAACAGGAUUAGAUACCCGAGUAGUC
rnacentral:rRNA from 1 species